rnacentral:rRNA from 1 species
GUCGAGGAUCAUUGGCAAUGGGCGCAAGCCUGACCAUGCGACGCUGCGUGGAGGAUGAAGGCCUUCGGGUUGUAAACUCCUGUCAUUUGGGAACAACCGUCCUGCCAUGAAUAGUGGCGGGAUUUGAUGGUACCAGAAGAGGAAGUCACGGCUAACUCUGUGCCAGCAGCCGCGGUGAUACAGAGGUGACGAGCGUUGUUCGGAUUUACUGGGCGUAAAGGGUGCGUAGGCGGUUUCGUAUGUCGGAUGUGAAAUCCCAUGGCUCAACCAUGGAAUUGCAUCUGAAACUGCGGAACUUGAGUACAGGAAGGGAGAGUGGAAUUCCUGGUGUAGCGGUGAAAUGCGUUGAUAUCAGGAGGAACACCGGCGGCGAAGGCGGCUCUCUGGAAUGUUACUGACGCUGAGGCACGAAAGCUGGGGGAGCAAACAGGAUUAGAAACCCUUGUAGUCC